rnacentral:rRNA from 1 species
GACGAACGCUGGCGGCGUGCUUAACACAUGCGAGUCGAACGGAAAGGCCCUGCUUUUGUGGGGUGCUCGAGUGGCAAACGGGUGAGUAACACGUGAGUAACCUGCCCUUGACUUUGGGAUAACUUCAGGAAACUGGGGCUAAUACCGGAUAGGAGCUCCUGCUGCAUGGUGGGGGUUGGAAAGUUUCGGCGGUUGGGGAUGGACUCGCGGCUUAUCAGCUUGUUGGUGGGGUAGUGGCUUACCAAGGCUUUGACGGGUAGCCGGCCUGAGAGGGUGACCGGCCACAUUGGGACUGAGAUACGGCCCAGACUCCUACGGGAGGCAGCAGUGGGGAAUAUUGCACAAUGGGCGGAAGCCUGAUGCAGCAACGCCGCGUGCGGGAUGACGGCCUUCGGGUUGUAAACCGCUUUCGCCUGUGACGAAGCGUGAGUGACGGUAAUGGGUAAAGAAGCACCGGCUAACUACGUG